UAGGCUGCAACUCGCCUACACGAAGCUGGAAUCGCUAGUAAUCGCGGAUCAGCACGCCGCGGUGAAUACGUUCCCGGGCCUUGUACACACCGCCCGUCACACCAUGAGAGUCUGUAACACCCAAAGCCGGUGGGAUAACCUUUAUAGGAGUCAGCCGUCUAAGGUAGGACAGAUGAUUAGGGUGAAGUCGUAACAAGGUAUC
rnacentral:rRNA from 1 species